rnacentral:rRNA from 1 species
GCGGCAAAAGCUCAAAUUUGAAAGCUAGCACCUUCGGUGUUCGCGUUGUAAUUUGAAGAUAGUUUCCUUGAGUAGUCCUUUAUCUAUGUUCCUUGGAACAGGACGUCAUAGAGGGUGAGAACCCCGUAUGAUUUUGGAUACUACUCUUUGUGGGAUUCUAUCGAAGAGUCGAGUUGUUUGGGAAUGCAGCUCUAAGUGGGUGGUAAAUUCCAUCUAAAGCUAAAUAUUGGCGAGAGACCGAUAGCGAACAAGUACAGUGAUGGAAAGAUGAAAAGAACUCUGAAGAGAGAGUGAAAAAGUACGUGAAAUUGCUGAAAGGGAAGGGCUUGAGGUCAGACUUGGUGUUUAAUGAUUAUCAGUUCUUCUUGGACUGUGCACUCGUUUUUCACCGGGCCAAUAUCAGUUUUAGCGGUAGAGUACCCCUUGAAAUGUGGCUUCCUUCGGGGAGUGUUAUAGUCUUGGGGAGAUCUACUUGCUGGGACUGAGGACUGCGCUUCGGCAAGGAUAUUGGCGUAAUGACCUUAAGCCGCCCGUCUUGA